GUAAACUAUGAGAGNUAGCNGUCGGCAAGUUNACUNGUCGGUGGCGCAGCUAACGCANUAAGCUCUCCGCCUGGNGAGUACGGUCGCAAGAUUCANACUCAAAGGAAUUGAGGGGGGNCCCGCAACAAGCGGUGGAGCAUGUGGUUUAAUUCGAAGCAACGCGCAGAACCUUACCAGCCCUUGACAUCCCGGUCGCGGUUUCCAGAGAUGGAUUCCUUCAGUUCGGCUGGACCGGUGACAGGUGCUGCAUGGNNGUCGUCAGCUCGUGUCGUGAGAUGUUGGGUUAAGUCCCGACAACGAGCGCAACCCUCGCCCUUAGUUGCCAGCAUUAAGUUGGGCACUCUAAGGGGACUGNCCGGUGAUAAGCCGAGAGGAAGGUGGGGAUGACGUCAAGUCCUCAUGGCCCUUACGGGCUGGGCUACACACGUGNUACAAUGGUGGUGACAGCGGGCAGNGAGACCGCGAGGUCGAGCUAAUCUCCAAAAGCCAUCUCAGUUCGGAUUGCACUCUGCAACUCGAGUGCAUGAAGUUGGAAUCGCUAGUAAUCGCGGAUCAGCAUGCCGCGGNGAAUACGUUCCCGGGCCUUGUACACACCGCCCGUCACAGCCAUGGGAGUUGGUUUUACCCGAAUGGCGCUGUGCUAACCGCCAAGGAGNCAGGCGACCACGGUAGGGUCAGCGAGAUGGGGUGAAGUCNUAAANAGGUACC
rnacentral:rRNA from 1 species